rnacentral:rRNA from 1 species
UACGUAGGGUGCGAGCGUUGUCCGGAAUUAUUGGGCGUAAAGAGCUUGUAGGCGGUCUGUCGCGUCUGCUGUGAAAAUCCGGGGCUCAACCCCGGACUUGCAGUGGGUACGGGCAGACUAGAGUGUGGUAGGGGAGACUGGAAUUCCUGGUGAUAGCGGUGAAAUGCGCAGAUAUCAGGAGGAACACCGAUGGCGAAGGCAGGUCUCUGGGCCACUACUGACGGCUGAGAAGCGGAAAGCCAGGGAGCGAACGGG